CCUACGGGUGGCAGCAGUGGGGAAUAUUGCACAAUGGGGGAAACCCUGAUGCAGCGACGCCGCGUGAGUGAAGAAGUAAUUCGUUAUGUAAAGCUCUAUCAGCAGGGAAGAAAAUGACGGUACCUGAGUAAGAAUCCCCGGCUAACUACGUGCCAGCAGCCGCGGUAAUACGUAGGGGGCAAGCGUUAUCCGGAUUUACUGGGGGUAAAGGGAGCGUAGACGGCAGUGCAAGUCUGGGGUGAAAGGCGGGGGCUCAACCCCCGGACUGCAAUGGAAACUGUACGGCUGGAGUGCAGGAGAGGUAAGCGGAAUUCGUGGGGUAGCGGUGAAAUGCGUAGAUAUUAGGAGGAACACCAGUGGCGAAGGCAGCUUACUAAACUGUCACUGACAUGGAGGCUCGAAAGCGUGGGGAGCAAACAGGAUUAGAUACCCUAGUAGUC
rnacentral:rRNA from 1 species